rnacentral:rRNA from 1 species
CCAGUAAUGUGGGCUUCCCUCCGGGGCAGCAGAGACAGGUGGUGCAUGGUUGUCGUCAGCUCGUGUCGUGAGAUGUUGGGUUAAGUCCCGCAACGAGCGCAACCCCUGCCGCCAGUAGCCAGCAGGUAAAGCUGGGCACUCUGGCGGGACUGCCGGGGAUAACCCGGGGGAAGGUGGGGACGACGUCAAAUCAUCAUGCCCCUUAUGGGCCGGGCUACACACGUGCUACAAUGGCGCCGACAGAGUGAAGCAGCCCCGCGAGGGUGAGCAAACCACAGAAACGGCGUCCCAGUUCGGAUUGCAGCCUGCAACUCGGCUGCAUGAAGCUGGAAUCGCUAGUAAUCGCGGAUCAGAAUGCCGCGGUGAAUACGUUCCCGGGUCUUGUACACACCGCCCGUCACACCAUGGGAGUCGGGAAUGCCCGAAGUCAGUGACCCAACCGCAAGGGGGGAGCUGCCGAAGGCAGGCCUGGUAACUGGGGUGAAGUCGUAACAAGGUAGCCGUAUCGGAAGGUGCGGCUGGAUCACCUCCUUUCUAAGG